rnacentral:rRNA from 1 species
GACGAACGCUGGCGGCGUGCCUAAUACAUGCAAGUAGAACGCACAGUUUAUACCGUAGCUUGCUACACCAUAGACUGUGAGUUGCGAACGGGUGAGUAACGCGUAGGUAACCUGCCUGGCAGCGGGGGAUAACUAUUGGAAACGAUAGCUAAUACCGCAUAAUAUUAAUUAUUGCAUGAUAAUUAAUUGAAAGGUGCAAUUGCACCACUACCAGAUGGACCUGCGUUGUAUUAGCUAGUAGGUGAGGUAACGGCUCACCUAGGCGACGAUACAUAGCCGACCUGAGAGGGUGAUCGGCCACACUGGGACUGAGACACGGCCCAGACUCCUACGGGAGGCAGCAGGAGGGAAUCUUCGGCAAUGGACGAAAGUCUGACCGAGCAACGCCGCGUGAGUGAAGAAGGGUUUCGGAUCGUAAAGCUCUGUUGUAAGAGAAGAACGGGUGUGAGAGUGGAAAGUUCACACUGUGACGGUAUCUUACCAGAAAGGGACGGCUAACUACGUG